GGUCAUGAGUGUCAGCGACAUGCAGCCCCGGCUCGCUGACCGGCAACCCUCCUACCGCGGUGGGGUGCCCCGGGUGAAGACCUGGCGCCGCGCACUCGCGCGUCGCAAGCGCGGGCC
rfam:Tersicoccus sp. Bi-70 scaffold7_cov1214_read202, whole genome shotgun sequence.